AAGUCGUAACAAGGUUUCCGUAGGUGAACCUGCGGAAGGAUCAUUACAUUCAGUAGCCUAGCUACUUGUUUAUACCCUUGUUUUUUUGCGUACCUAUUGUUUCCUCGGCGGGCUUGCUCGCCGGUUGGACAAAAAUUACAACCUUUUUAAAUCUUCAAUCAGCGUCUGAAUUAUACAUAAUAAUUACAACUUUCAACAACGGAUCUCUUGGUUCUG
rnacentral:misc_RNA from 1 species